rnacentral:rRNA from 1 species
CUUGACCGCUGGCGGCAGGCCUAACACAUGCAAGUCGAACGAGUGGCGGACGGGUGAGUAAUGUCUGGGAAACUGCCCGAUGGAGGGGGAUAACUACUGGAAACGGUAGCUAAUACCGCAUACCAUCGGAUGUGCCCAGAUGGGAUUAGCUAGUAGGUGGGGUAACGGCUCACCUAGGCGACGAUCCCUAGCUGGUCUGAGAGGAUGACCAGCCACACUGGAACAGAGCAAGGGUCCAGACUCCUACGGGAGGCAGCAGUGGGGAAUAUUGCACAAUGGGCGCAAGCCUGAUGCAGCCAUGCCGCGUGUAUGAAGAAGGCCUUCGGUUUGUAAAGUACUUUCAGCGGGGAGGCGUUACCCGCAGAAGAAGCACCGGCUAACUCCGUGCCAGCAGCCGCGGUAAUAC